rnacentral:rRNA from 1 species
AUACGUAGGGGGCGAGCGUUAUCCGGAUUUAUUGGGUUUAAAGGGUGCGUAGGCGGUUUGCUAAGCGGGAGGUGAAAUGCCGGCGCUCAACGUCGGAAGUGCCUCCCGAACUGGUGGACUUGAAUGACUCUGCCGUGGGAGGAAUGCGCAGUGUAGCGGUGAAAUGCUUAGAGAUUACACAGAACACCGAUUGCGAAGGCAUCUCACGAAGGGUUGAUUGACGCUGAGGCACGAAAGCGUGGGGAUCAAACAGGAUUAGAUACCCUGGUAGUCCACGCAGUAAACGAUGAUGGCUAACCGCUGGGCUUAUCAGUUCAGUGGCCAAGCGAAAGCGAUAAGCCAUCCACCUGGGGAGUACGACCGCAAGGUUGAAACUCAAAUGAAUUGACGGG